rnacentral:rRNA from 1 species
UACGAAGGGGUCUAGCGUUGCUCGGAAUCACUGGGCGUAAAGGGUGCGUAGGCGGGUUAUUAAGUCAGAGGUGAAAUCCUGGAGCUCAACUCCAGAACUGCCUUUGAUACUGAUAGUCUUGAGUAUGGGAGAGGUGAGUGGAACUGCGAGUGUAGAGGUGAAAUUCGUAGAUAUUCGCAAGAACACCAGUGGCGAAGGCGGCUCACUGGCCCAUUACUGACGCUGAGGCACGAAAGCGUGGGGAGCAAACAGG